GUACAUGCCUACAAUAUAUUAUUAAUGCACCAGAUCCCAUUAGAUCUCUAUAGUUAAGCACGCUCAUGCUAGAGUAGUACUGGAAUGGGUGACCAUAUUGGAAGUCCUAGUGUUUUUUAUC
rnacentral:rRNA from 1 species